ACAGAGUCAUCGUGUGUAGAUGGAAACAGGCUUCAGGAGGUUAAAAAACCCACCCAACGCCACAGAGCUAAUAAGUAGUGUCUGGACAGAACACUGAAAAACCAAACAACUGAAACUGUGAGUCAAAUAUAUUAGCUGCACAUUCCAUCAGGAGUUCUGAUGUCAUAGCCCCCUGGAAGGACCUGCAGUGCUGACACUCUGGCCAUUUGUUUCCAUGCAGCAGCACAAAGCAAACUGACAAGAAGAACACAGCUGUAAAUUUUCACUACAGUGAGAGACAUUUCAAGUGCAUCUAAGAGAAAGGAUCCUGGAUUAAAAGAAGGAGUAAGAGCCACUGAUUUAUACGAAUCAGUUAUUUUCAAGUUGAUACUGCUUUAGAGGAAAAACAAUAUCAUGUAACAGAAGUGCUUCCUUCUACAAAGACAUAACCUUCAAAGGCGGUGGAAUGAGUCUGUUCCUCAAGUGUUCUGUGCCUGAGAACCACUGCGGGAGAUAAGAGGAAGCCAUGGGGACAUGACAGGCAAGAAAACAUCGUGAUUCCAUCUAACAGCUUCUGUUCUCUCCUCAUGCUGCUGCUGUUUUACCGGUAAAAUUGAGAUGUAGACUUCAUUCCAAAUUAACAGGACGUGGUCUGUCCACACAUGGGCCUGGAGAGACAGCGGCACAGUUUCUGCCCCAUUACUUCCCAGAAUGCAUGGCUGGGGCAGUCGGAAAGCUCUUUACAGUCUGGUAAUCAAUCCAUUUGUUUCAUCUAAAAAGUUCAUUGAUAUUUUUU